rnacentral:rRNA from 1 species
UGCGCUUGACAUCCCUAUCGCGGAUUAGAGAGAUCUUUUCCUUCAGCUCGGCUGGAUAGGUGAC